AACUCAAUAAUGGACGGGCCGCACAAUCGAUGGAGCAUGUGAUUUAAUUCGAUGCAACGCGCAAGAACAGUCACUUGUUCUUGACAUGGCAGUAAUCCUGUAGAGAUAUGGAGUACCACAAGCAAUGUGCACACAGUGCUGCAUGACGGUCGUCAGCUCGUGUCGAUGAGAUGUUGGCUAAGUCCAGCAAUGAGCGCAACCCUUAUGAGGUGUUGACAUCAUUAACUUGGCAACUCAAGUCAGACUGCUGGUGAUAAACCGGAGGAAGAUGGGGAUGACGUCAAGUCAUGCAUAGGCCGAUUACGCAUCAGGGCGACACACGUGCUACAAUGGGAUAUACAGAGGGAAGAGACCAGGUGAGCUGUAAGCGAAUGUCAGAAAGUAUUUCUGUAGUCCGGAUUGAAGUAUGCAACUGCGACUUCAUGAAGUUGGAAUCGCAUCCUAAUCUGCUUAUCAGCAUUCUGCGGUAGAAUACGCUCUCGGGCCAUGUACACACCGCCAGUCACACCAUGGGAGUGGAUUACACCAGAACUACCCAGCCUAAAGAUAGAGGGCGAUCUACACACGGUAUGAUUUAUGACUGGGUGGAAUCUCAU
rnacentral:rRNA from 1 species